rnacentral:lncRNA from 1 species
AGGGCCCACAUCUUACCCCGUUCAGUGGGACUUUGGGGCCUUCUGGCUGUGGGCUUUUGCCUGACGCUGCCAGUCAGCUCUUUUCUUAACAAAGUGGUACGUCCUGGGGCUUAGCCCGAGUGGAAAGCACCAGAGGCAUCACUUUCAUGGUUUCUUUCACCUGACCAAAGACCAUGUAUUUUCCAUCCCACCACUGAGUCUUUACAGUAGAGAAGAAAAGCCACUGAACCAUUCGUGUUGGGACAAAGUGAAUGAACCUGUUUACUUCAGGAUGAAGUUCAAAUUUUUCCCUUAAGAUUGACUUGCCACCAGUGCUAUCAUAGCCCUGCUGUGAGUUGCUACUCUGGUGCAUAAGCCUAAGAAAGAUUCUGUGAAAGCUGGAGUCCUUGUAACAAAAUUCAUCCUCACCAUAUUAAGAGCAUUUAAAUUUCCUGCUGCUUUUGAAACUUUGUCAAUAGAGACCUCAAAAGUGACGGAGCCCAGGGACAAGGUGAGAGAGAUGGGCCAUGGUUAGAGAGAGUUUGUUCUGAAAACAGCAGUGACUAUUGCCUCCCUUGUUCUGAACAUUAUACAGAAGUAUUAGUGCAACCAAAGAUAAGCUGCCAUAUCACACUGCUGGCUCUUUCUGAACAUGUAAGUCUCAUAGUUCUUUAGUAUUUGUAGGAUUUAUAGCUUGAAGGAACUUUAAAGAUCACUGGUCCAAACACUUGCUUUGUAUUACAGAUAAAGAAACUGAGACCCAGAGACUUGCCUAAGGUCACAGAUAACACAUAGCUGAGCUAAGAUUUGAACACAGGGCUCAUUCCACAAAAUGAGUAUUUGCUUCUCUUCUAAACAUUAAACUAGAUGCUUUCCCUUCCUCUUUCCCUUAUCUUAUGCUGUGACUUCUGAGUGGAAACUGGAAGUACUGUCAGGCCCAGGAACCUCUGGCUCUUAUUGGCUUGUUCCUCUCAGAACCCCAAUUUUAAGGUUAGGUUGGUAACAUGUAGGUCCAUUCUUCUUUUAUUUUAUAUGUGAAUGUAAGCUCCUCGAGAGCAAAGCUUGUUUAUU